rnacentral:rRNA from 1 species
UACGUAGGGUGCGAGCGUUGUCCGGAAUUAUUGGGCGUAAAGAGCUCGUAGGCGGUGUGUCGCGUCGAUCGUGAAAACUUACAGCUUAACUGUGAGCGUGCGGUCGAUACGGGCAUCACUGGAGUUCGGCAGGGGAGACUGGAAUUCCUGGUGUAGCGGUGAAAUGCGCAGAUAUCAGGAGGAACACCGGUGGCGAAGGCGGGUCUCUGGGCCGAUACUGACGCUGAGGAGCGAAAGCGUGGGGAGCGAACAGGAUUAGAUACCCUGGUAGUCC